rnacentral:rRNA from 1 species
AUUGAACGCUGGCGGCAGGCCUAACACAUGCAAGUCGAACGGCAGCACAGAAGAGCUUGCUCUUUGGGUGGCGAGUGGCGGACGGGUGAGUAAUGUCUGGGAAACUGCCCGAUGGAGGGGGAUAACUACUGGAAACGGUAGCUAAUACCGCAUAACGUCGCAAGACCAAAGUGGGGGACCUUCGGGCCUCACACCAUCGGAUGUGCCCAGAUGGGAUUAGCUAGUAGGUGGGGUAAUGGCUCACCUAGGCGACGAUCCCUAGCUGGUCUGAGGGGAUGACCAGGCACACUGGAACUGAGACACGGUCCAGACUCCUACGGGAGGCAGCAGUGGGGAAUAUUGCACAAUGGGCGCAAGCCUGAUGCAGCCAUGCCGCGUGUAUGAAGAAGGCCUUCGGGUUGUAAAGUACUUUCAGCGGGGAGGAAGGCGGUGAGGUUAAUAACCUCGCCGAUUGACGUUACCCGCAGAAGAAGCACCGGCUAACUCCGUGCCAGCCGCCGCGGUAA